rnacentral:lncRNA from 1 species
GGGAGGAGCGGGGCGGCGAGCGCCUGGCCAGGCAGUCUGGAAACGGUGGUUCUUAACGGUUCCCAGCCAGUUGGUGGCAAGGCGGCUGGACUAGAAUCCCAGCAGGCGACAUGGGAGGAGGCGGGCAGCCCAAGAUGGUUGGGCAGGGCAGUGUGGACCUCACCGCUUCCACAGCGAUGCUGGCUACUGAUCGCGGGCACCUGCUUGCUAUGGGAUGGAAAUUAAUGUUAUGACUGGAUAAGACAAUUGUGAAGAAACUGCACUUCGAGACUGUCUAUCUCCAUAUUCUGAUGGAAAAGCGUGGACUUUAGAAGCAUUGCUCACUCCUUCAGUUUCUAACAA